GGGGAAUCUUCCGCAAUGGGCGAAAGCCUGACGGAGCAACGCCGCGUGAGUGAAGACGGCCUUCGGGUUGUAAAGCUCUGUUAUACGGGACGAAUAAUCUUGUGGUUAAUACCCAUGAGAAGUGACGGUACCGUAAGAGAAAGCCACGGCUAACUACGUGCCAGCAGCCGCGGUAAUACGUAGGUGGCAAGCGUUGUCCGGAAUUAUUGGGCGUAAAGGGCGCGCAGGCGGCUUCUUAAGUCUGUCUUAAAAGUGCGGGGCUUAACCCCGUGAUGGGAUGGAAACUGGGAAGCUCAGAGUAUCGGAGAGGAAAGCGGAAUUCCUAGUGUAGCGGUGAAAUGCGUAGAUAUUAGGAGGAACACCAGUGGCGAAAGCGGCUUUCUGGACGAAAACUGACGCUGAGGCGCGAAAGCCAGGGGAGCGAACGGGAUUAGAUACCCCGGUAGUCCUGGCCGUAAACGAUGGGUACUAGGUGUAGGAGGUAUCGACCCCUUCUGUGCCGGAGUUAACGCAAUAAGUACCCCGCCUGGGGAGUACGGCCGCAAGGUUG
rnacentral:rRNA from 1 species